rnacentral:rRNA from 1 species
AGCGCUUGUGACCAGACUUGCGUCCGGUGAAUCACCCAGCUCUCGCGGCUGGGGCACUUCGCCGGCACAGGCCAGCAUCAGCUUGCCGUCGGGGACAAAAGCCUCAGGAACGUGGCUCCUCUCGGGGAGUGUUAUAGCCUGUUGCAUAAUACCCUUCGGCGGGCUGAGGUACGCGCUCCGCAAGGAUGCUGGCGUAAUGGUCAUCAGCGACCCGUCUUGAAACACGGACCA